AUUGAACGCUGGCGGCAGGCCUAACACCUGCAAGUCGAGCGAGCGGCGGACGGGUGAGUAAUGUAUGGGAACCUGCCUGCCGGAGGGGGAUAACUACUGGAAACGGUAGCUAAUAACGCAUACCCUCCGAUUUUCCCAGAUGGGAUUAGAUAGUAGGUGGGGUACCGGCACACCUAGGCGACGAUCCCUAGCUGGUCGGAGGGGAUGAACAGCCAAACGGGAACUGAGACAGGGUCCGGACUCCGACGGGAGGCAGCAGUGGGUAAUAUUGGACAAGGGGCGCAAGCCUGAUGCAGCCAGGCCGCGGGGGUGAGGAGGGCCUUCGGGUUUUAAGGCACUUUCAGCGGGGAGGCGUUACCCGCAGAAGAAGCACCGGCUAACUCCGUGCCAGCAGCCGCGGUAAUUC
rnacentral:rRNA from 1 species